rnacentral:rRNA from 1 species
AGAGUUUGAUCCUGGCUCAGGACGAACGCUGGCGGCGUGCUUAACACAUGCAAGUCGAGCGAAUGAUCCCUUCGGGGAGAUUUAGCGGCGGACGGGUGAGUAACACGUGGGCAACCUGCCUUAAUGAGGGGGAUAGCCUUUCGAAAGGAAGAUUAAUACCCCAUAAUAUUAUUUUGUCGCAUGAUAGAAUAAUCAAAGAUUUAUCGCAUUAAGAUGGGCCCGCGGCGCAUUAGCUAGUUGGUGAGGUAACGGCUCACCAAGGCCACGAUGCGUAGCCGACCUGAGAGGGUGAUCGGCCACAUUGGGACUGAGACACGGCCCAGACUCCUACGGGAGGCAGCAGUGGGGAAUAUUGCACAAUGGGGGAAACCCUGAUGCAGCAACGCCGCGUGAGUGAUGAAGGUCUUCGGAUUGUAAAGCUCUGUCUUUGGGGACGAUAAUGACGGUACCCAAGGAGGAAGCCACGGCUAACUACGUGCCAGCAGCCGCGGUAAUACGUAGGUGGCAAGCGUUGUCCGGAAUUAUUGGGCGUAAAGGAUGCGUAGGCGGAUAUAUAAGUCAGAUGUGAAAUACCCGAGCUUAACUUGGGUGCUGCAUUUGAAACUGUAUGUCUAGAGUGCGGGAGAGGAAAGUGGAAUUCCUAGUGUAGCGGUGAAAUGCGUAGAGAUUAGGAAGAACACCAGUGGCGAAGGCGACUUUCUGGACCGUAACUGACGCUGAUGCAUGAAAGCGUGGGGAGCAAACAGGAUUAGAUCCCCUGGUAGUCCACGCCGUAAACGAUGGGUACUAGGUGUAGGAGGGUCCAACCUUCUGUGCCGCCGUUAACAC